UCCCUGGUAGUCCAGUGGUUAGGACUCCACACUUUCACUAUUGAGGGCCUGGGUUCUAUCCCUGGUCGAGGAA
rnacentral:tRNA from 1 species